rnacentral:rRNA from 1 species
GACGAACGCUGGCGGCGUGCUUAACACAUGCAAGUCGAGCGGUAAGGCCCUUUCGGGGGUACACGAGCGGCGAACGGGUGAGUAACACGUGGGUGACCUGCCCUUAGCUCUGGGAUAAGCCUGGGAAACUGGGUCUAAUACCGGAUAUGACUCCAUGACGCAUGUUGUGGGGUGGAAAGCCUUGUGCGGCUAGGGAUGGGCCCGCGGCCUAUCAGCUUGUUGGUGGGGUGAUGGCCACCAAGGCGACGACGGGUAGCCGGCCUGAGAGGGCGACCGGCCACACUGGGACUGAGACACGGCCCAGACUCCUACGGGAGGCAGCAGUGGGGAAUCUUGCGCAAUGGGCGAAAGCCUGACGCAGCGACGCCGCGUGAGGGAUGACGGCCUCGGUGUAA